rnacentral:rRNA from 1 species
ACGACGCUGGCGGCGUGCUUAACACAUGCAAGUCGAACGGUGACGAGGAGCUUGCUCCUCCGAUCAGUGGCGAACGGGUGAGUAACACGUGAGUAACCUGCCCCAGACUCUGGGAUAACAGUUGGAAACAGCUGCUAAUACCGGAUACGAGACGGAGAGGCAUCUCUACCGUCUGGAAAGUUUUUCGGUCUGGGAUGGACUCGGCGGCCUAUCAGCUUGUUGGUGAGGUAAUGGCUCACCAAGGCGACGACGGGUAGCCGGCCUGAGAGGGCGACCGGCCACACUGGGACUGAGACACGGCCCAGACUCCUACGGGAGGCAGCAGUGGGGAAUAUUGCACAAUGGGCGAAAGCCUGAUGCAGCGACGCCGCGUGAGGGAUGACGGCCUUCGGGUUGUAAACCUCUUCAGCAGGGAAGAAGCGAAAGUGACGGUACCUGCAGAAGAAGCACCGGCUAACUACGUG